rnacentral:rRNA from 1 species
GCCGAACCGUCCAAACGUUAUUCGGAAUCACUGGGCUUAAAGGGUGCGUAGGCUGCGCGGAAAGUUGGGUGUGAAAUCCCUCGGCUCAACCGAGGAACUGCGCCCAAUACUGCCGUGCUUGAGGAAGAUAGAGGUGAGCGGAACUUAGGGUGGAGCGGUGAAAUGCGUUGAUAUCCUAAGGAACACCGGUGGCGAAAGCGGCUCACUGGAUCUUUUCUGACGCUGAGGCACGAAAGCUAGGGUAGAGAACGGG